rnacentral:rRNA from 1 species
UACGUAGGGUGCGAGCGUUGUCCGGAAUCACUGGGCGUAAAGGGCGCGUAGGUGGCGCGGGCAGUCAACGGUGAAAGUUCGGGGCUCAACCCUGAAUCGGCCGUCGAUACUCCCGGGCUUGAGCACUGUAGAGGCUAAUGGAAUUCCGGGUGUAGCGGUGGAAUGCGUAGAGAUCCGGAAGAACACCGGUGGCGAAGGCGGUUAGCUGGGCAGUUGCUGACACUGAGGCGCGACAGCGUGGGGAGCAAACAGG